rnacentral:lncRNA from 1 species
GGGAAUAAAAGCUGGCCACCCCAACCAGCAGCAGCCCCUGGCUUGGGUCCUCGUCUAAGCUGUGGACGCUUUGUUCUUUCGCUCUUCACAAUAAAUCUUGCUCACUCUUUGGGUCCGUGCCGCCUUUAAGAGCUGUAACACUCACCGCGGAGGUCCGCGGCCCCGUUCUUGAAGUCAGCGAGACCACGAACCCACCAGAAGGAACCAACUCCAGACACAAUCCCAGCACUUUGGGAAGUCAGGGCAGGCGGAUCAGGAGGUCAGAAGAUCGAGACCAUCCUGGCCAACAUGGUGAAACCCCAUCUCUACUGAAAAUAUAAAAAUUAGCUGGAUGUGGUGGCGCAUGCCUGUAAUCCCAGCUACUGGGGAGGCUGAGGCAGGAGAAUCCCUUAAACCGGGGAGUUGGAUGUUGCAGUGAGCUGAGAUUGCGCCACAGCUCUCUAGCCUGGCGACAGAGUGAGCCUCCAUCUCAAAACAACAACAACAACAAAAACCAAAAGAAAUGAGGUUUAAUUGACUCACAGUUCCACAGGUUGUACAAGAGGUGUGACUGGGGAGGCCUCAGGAAGCUUACAAUCAUGGUGGAAGGAUGAAGGGGAAGCAAGCACGUCUUCACAUGGCAGUAGGCGGGAGAGUGAGUGAAGGGAGAAGUGCUACACACUUUCAAACAACCAGAUCUCAUGAAAACUCACUAUCACAAGAACAGCAAAAGGGAAAUCCACCCAUGAUCUAAUCAUCUCCCACCAGCUCCCUCUCGCAACAUUGGGAAUUACAGUUCAACAUGCGAUUUGGUGGGGACACAGAGCCAAACCAUAUCACACCCCAUUCAAAGCUAUGAGAUUAUAAAAUGGUCCUUCUCCUGUCACUCAGCUGACUGUAAAUUCAUGCUGGCACAUCCACACCACGGCAGACAGACACUGCUUGGGAGUUCUGUUCUGUCAUCAACGGAGCUGUGAUGACCGUGGAUGUCACUGGUAGUGGCCAACAUUUCUGCAGCUCCUUCUCAGUUACAUCCUCAACACAA